rnacentral:rRNA from 1 species
CCUACGGGUGGCAGCAGUGGGGAAUAUUGGGCAAUGGACGCAAGUCUGACCCAGCAACGCCGCGUGAAGGAAGAAGGCUUUCGGGUUGUAAACUUCUUUUAAGGGGGAAGAGCAGAAGACGGUACCCCUUGAAUAAGCCACGGCUAACUACGUGCCAGCAGCCGCGGUAAUACGUAGGUGGCAAGCGUUGUCCGGAUUGACUGGGUGUAAAGGGCGUGUAGCCGGAGAAACAAGUCAGAUGUGAAAUCCACGGGCUCAACCCGUGCACUGCAUUUGAAACUGGUUCCCUUGAGUGUCGGAGAGGUAAGCGGAAUGCGUGGUGUAGCGGUGAAAUGCGUAGAUAUUAGGAAGAACCCCAGUGGCGAAGGCGGAUUACUGGACGAUAACUGACGGUGAGGCGCGAAAGCGUGGGGAGCAAACAGGAUUAGAUACCCUUGUAGUC